rnacentral:lncRNA from 1 species
AAAAAAGUCUUCAAGACAGCAAAAAUGUCGGACGUGACGUUGGUAUUAACUUGAGAGGUAUGUCCAGUAUAGCCAUCGGACGUCGGAUGGUGACGAUCCGUGAGUACGAAUACAGAUGGUUACAUACAAAUAAAAGGGAUCAAUUAACGAUAGGCGACUUGCGCUAAGAGGUCACGUGACCUUAAUCCUCUUGAAAUAGUAGGUAUGGAACCAUGAAUCUACAAUAAACAUACAGAGUGAUGUUUUAAGCAAAAAUUCGUAAUUUUUGUUUUAAAAACUUUAAAAAAAUAUCUUACACGUUUAUUAGGGCAGGGCACUUGCUAGAGGGGGGACGCUUUAUAGAGGGCCAUUUGCUAGAGGUUAUAUUUCAUUUUACGGAGUG